UUUUUUUUUUUUUUUUUUUGUUUUUUGAGAUAGAGUCUUGCUCUGUUGCCCAGGCUGGAGUGCAGUGGCACAAUCCACUAGGCCAUAGCCAGUUGCACUGUGAAGGAGUCAAAGGGAAUACUCCCUUAGUUGAGGGAAGAUGUUACUACAUCUAGAGUGAUGAAACUUUAGUUUUCAUUGUUCUAAAAUUACAAUGGGAAUAUGGACGUUUCUCCUUAUGGGUAUUUUGAAUAUUUUAGAAUCUAUAUAUUCCAUUUAUCUUUUUAUGGAGCUUAAUUCUGAGAGACACGUGAAAACCUGAAUGUUACUGAUUUUCAGGGUUUUUUUUUUCCUUUUUUCUUUUUUAUUAUACUUUAAGUUCUAGGGUACAUGUGUACAACAUGCAGGUUUGUUACAUAUGUAUACAUGUGCCAUGUUGUUGUGCUGCACUCAUUAACUUGUCAUUUUCAUUAGGUAUAUCUCCUAAUGCUAUCCCUUCCCAUUCCUCCCACCCCACAACAGGCCCCGGUGUGUGAUGUUCCCUUUCCUGUGUCCAAGUGUUCUCAUUGUUCAGUUUCCACACCAUCAUUCUUAGCAAACUGUCGCAAGAACAGAAAACCAAACACCUCAGAUUUUCAGUUAUUUUAAAGAAAAUAAGCAUUAUCAAGAAAGUUUAAAAUGUAAAGUAACAAGAAUGUAAUUGCAGGGUAUCUAUCUGUAGCAAUCAUAUAUUCUACUUUGAAUGCUUUUGCAUGUUGAACUCUCAUCCUCUAUUGACCACUGAGGGCCAUGCAACUGUUAAGUAACAAUGCGAAAUUCCUGGCUAUCUCUGCAAUUUAGUUGAACAAUCAUCUAAUAUUUAUGCAGAAUCAUUAACUUAACUGGACAAGCAGGUUUCACAAUGUUACACACUCCGAGUUGAAGAAAAUUGUCCACCUUUGCAAUCCUAAAACAUUCAACAUAGCAAUGUAUAAGUGUAGGCAAACAGCACUGGGUGAAUAUAAACUUUGAGGAUGGACUAAUUUUUUUCCCCAUUGGGUACUAUAUUAACAAACAAGGUGCAAUAUAGUAGCCACUGAAUGAGAAGUCAGAUUUAGGGUGAGAGGUCACAUUGUAUUAUGUGGGAGUGAUUCCAGAAGUGCAUGGAACUCAGAGAAAAUGAAAACAAAGAGCAAAUGCGUAGGUGUCCUGAGUCAGCCAUGAGGGUGAUUAAUAGGGAGCUGCAUUAGGAAUAGUCCUCACAACCAAACUCCUUUCUUGUCCUUUUGUUUUGUUUAGCACUGGGCAACACUGUCUUUAUUUUAUUUAUUUAUUUAUUUAUUUGAGAUGGAGUCUCACUCUGUCACCCAGGCUGGAGUACAGUGGCACCAUCUCAGCUCACUGCAACCUCUGCCUUCCGGGUUCAAGCGAUUCUCC
rnacentral:lncRNA from 1 species